AGCGGCAGACGGGUGAGUAACGCGUGGGAAUCUACCCAGCUCUACGGAACAACUCCGGGAAACUGGAGCUAAUACCGUAUACGUCCUUCGGGAGAAAGAUUUAUCGGAGUUGGAUGAGCCCGCGUUGGAUUAGCUAGUUGGUGGGGUAAUGGCCUACCAAGGCGACGAUCCAUAGCUGGUCUGAGAGGAUGAUCAGCCACACUGGGACUGAGACACGGCCCAGACUCCUACGGGAGGCAGCAGUGGGGAAUAUUGGACAAUGGGCGAAAGCCUGAUCCAGCCAUGCCGCGUGAGUGAUGAAGGCCCUAGGGUUGUAAAGCUCUUUCACCGGUGAAGAUAAUGACGGUAACCGGAGAAGAAGCCCCGGCUAACUUCGUGCCAGCAGCCGCGGUAAUACGAAGGGGGCUAGCGUUGUUCGGAAUUACUGGGCGUAAAGCGCACGUAGGCGGAUUGUUAAGUCAGGGGUGAAAUCCU
rnacentral:rRNA from 1 species